CAGUCGCCACGGGAAUACAGAGGGUGCGAGCGUUAAUCGGAUUUACUGGGCGUAAAGCGUGCGUAGGCGGCUUCUUAAGUCGGAUGUGAAAUCCCUGAGCUUAACUUAGGAAUUGCAUUCGAUACUGGGAAGCUAGAGUAUGGGAGAGGAUGGUAGAAUUCCAGGUGUAGCGGUGAAAUGCGUAGAGAUCUGGAGGAAUACCGAUGGCGAAGGCAGCCAUCUGGCCUAAUACUGACGCUGAGGUACGAAAGCAUGGGGAGCAAACAGGAUUAGAGACCCGAGUAGUCCCUGUCUCUUAUAA
rnacentral:rRNA from 1 species